CCGUCGUAAAAAUAAAUUAGUCUUUUUCGGAAAUUCUCGGUAAGAAAGAAGGGGAUGUAUUUUUUUUUUCUGUUUUAAGAAAAGGAAAAUCUUAUUUCCCGAAUCAUUGUACAUUUCAAUUUGAAUUAGGAAUUCUGUGUCCAACUCUAAGCAGCCCUUAACUACAUAUGCAUCUGAUCAUAUAUGUAUUAUCUAUUCCAACAAAUAAUACAAAAGAAGGAGGUUUUUCAAUGCGAGAUCUAAAAACAUAUCUCUCUGUGGCACCAGUACUAAGUACGCUAUGGUUCGGGGCUUUAGCAGGUCUAUUGAUAGAGAUUAAUCGUUUUUUCCCGGAUGCGUUGACAUUCCCCUUUUUUUAAUUCUAGUUAUUGUCAUGGGAAGGAAUGAAGAAAAUUAGAGAUCCAAUCAAAUAUUGGUGAUGAAUCCCUCUCCCCCUCUUUUCUCUUUUUUCCCUUUUUAGAAUAAGGGAGGAAAGAGAAAGAAUAAAAAAAGUCGAUUCAACAUUCGGGCUCAAGUUCGAAUUAACUGAAUAUUAAUCAUAGAGGAAUGGGGGUAGAAUAGAAAAUGGGGGUCUAGGGCAAGAGUAUUAUACAAGAUACUUAAAUGAUUACUUCAAUUUGAAAUAUACUUUAGAAAAAUCGUUGUAUUUUACUAUGACUUUGCUUUACUAUUACUUUAUUUUCGUGAUUUUAAUCUUUUACUUUUAGAAUUGGAUUUCAAGUUAGUAAUUUCUAUUUUAUCCUUUCUUCGUUUUGAAUCGAAAAUAGAAGAGUUGAGUAAAUCAAAAAUCCAAAGGAGGUUCAUGGCCAAAGGGAAAGAUGUCCGAGUAACGGUGAUUUUGGAAUGUACUAGUUGUGUCCGAAACAGUGUUGAUAAGGUAUCAAGAGGUAUUUCCAGAUAUAUUACUCAAAAGAACCGGCACAAUACGCCUAAUCGAUUUGAAUUGAAAAAAUUCUGCCCCUAUUGUUACAAACAUACGAUUCAUGGGGAGAUAAAGAAAUAGAGCGAACCAAGUACCUGUGUCUUACCCUUUCAAGGAAGGGGAAAAAAUGACAUUAUAUAUAUAACAUAUUUAAAUAGAAAAUAAACAAAUCCUAUUUUUGAAAAAUCCUAUUUUGAGUGGAUUUAAAAUGAAUUAGAAUGAAGAAAUAGGAUUUUAGGGAUAAGGAAUAAAUUAAACAAACAAACCAUGGAUAAAUCCAAGCGACCUUUUCUUAAAUUCAAGCGAUCUUUUCGUAGGCGUUUGCCCCCGAUUCAAUCGGGGGAUCGAAUUGAUUAUAGAAACAUGAGUUUAAUUAGUCGAUUUAUUAGUGAACAAGGAAAAAUAUUAUCAAGACGUGUGAAUAGAUUGACCUUGAAACAACAACGAUUAAUUACUCUUGCUAUAAAACAAGCUCGUAUUUUAUCUUUGUUACCUUUUCUCAAUAAUGAGAAACAAUUUGAAAGAACCGAGUCGACCGCUAGAACUACUGGUUUUAAAGCCCGAAAUAAAUAGGCUUACUUUUUCUUCACUUGAAUCAUAAUUACAAGAAUCUAGAUUUGAGUGAAUCUAGAUUUGAGUAUCGUGUCGUAAGAAAAAAUGAAUCGGAAAAAAAGAAAUCUGUUUUUAUUGAAUUGAACGUGUUCAUUCAUUUUGACUACUUUAGUAUAUUUUCUCAUACUAAUUUCUACUCUACCUUCCCGGAGUUCAUUCUCCGGGUAACUCCAUUUAAAUUAUUCUGGUGGAUUCUUUCCAAUCUACUUCCUUUAUGAUUUCGUUCGAAAUCAUAUAAAGACAAUUCCUAUUUGAUAUAGCUAUUUGUGCAAGUAUUUUACGGUUAAGAAGCAACUGUCUCUUGUACAGAUCGUGUAUUAAUCUACUAUAACUAUAGGAUACUCCCCUUUCGCGAAUUACUGCGUUUAUCCUAGUGAUCCACAAACGACGAAAAUCUCUCUUUUUCCUAUCCCUAUCCCGAUGAGCCGAAACUAAAGCUCUUAUUUUCUGUUGAGUAAUAGUUCUAGUAAGCCUUGAAUGAGCCCCUCGAAAGCUUGAUGCAAAUAAACGAAUUUUUGUUCUACGUCUCCGAGCUAUAUAUCCCCGUUUAAUUCUGGUCAUUGAAUAAAUGAAACUUUGACGAAUAACUAAUUGAUUGCCUUUCUUUCAGUUAUUCUUUUCCCCCUUCCUAGUCUAUUAAUAACAAAACGAAUUUUUCCAAUGUAUAAAAUCAAAAUUCCAAUGGCUUUGGCUACUCUAACCUUCCCGACCACGAUUUUUUUUUUAGGUAUUUCACUGCGAAAUAAGACAGAACUAAGAAAUUGUAUUUUCCUAGGUAUCAAAAAUAUAGUAAAUAAAAGAAAUAAAAAAAGAAAUAGUGGGUUCCUUCGUUUCUAUGGUUACUUCUUAAACGGUGAGGUCUUCUCUAUACACCGGAGCCUUUACUUUAUACUUUAAUUUACUAUUUAAUCAACUAAUUGAUGUUAUUGGGAACUUGUAUAGUUCACACGCUUUGGCUCUACCCAUGAAUUAUCCAGUAAUAGGUCUUUCACAAUCAGAUCUACCUAUACAGUAACGGUAUUUAAUUAUGAAAGUUUGCUGGGUAGCUGACCCUCUUAGUCCGUUUAAAUAAGAUUUCCUCCGCUUAAUGGAUAACCAUUUGUUACCAAUGGAGAAUUUCUUAUCAUCUUAAAUUCAGGUGAUUGGAUUUACACCAACGGAAACCAUAAACUUCAUACACAAUAGAGGGAUAUGGUAGAGUUUUUUUUUUUAAUAAUGGAUGGAGUUCCUUUUUCCAUCCUAUCCCAUUCACCGGUACUGAUCAUUGAUACUGUAAAAGUAGUUUUCUUGCUUUUGUGCCAGCUCAUGAUCUAAACGAGUCGCACAUACACCCUAGUACAUGUUCCUCGACGCUGAGGGCACCCCCGAAGAGCGGGGGAUUUCGUGACAUUUCUGAUUGGCUGUCUUGUAUUUCUAAUAAGUUGUUUAAUAGUUGGCAUGUUGAAUCGUAUACAUAAUAUGAUGGGUUGGUUUAGAUUGAUCCUAACCGAAUGAUGGUGAAUUACUUCUAUUUAAUAGAAUAUUCAAUUCGAAGAUAAAAUCUCAAAUCACAGAUUUGCGCGAAAUCCAUGUUAUUUUCCUUGAACCGCUACAAAAUCAACAAUUCCAUAAGCUUGGGCUUCUGUUGCUGACAUAAAAAUAUCUCUUUCCAUAUCUUCGUGUACAACCCAGAAGGGUUUGCCCGUUCUUUCUGCAUAAACCCUUGUGAGGGUUUCACGCAGUUUCAUCAGUUCUACCGCUUCCAUGACAAAUUCGCCUACUUGUGCCAUAUAAAAAGCACUAUAAGGUUCAUGUAUCAUUACCCUGAUGAUAUAACAAAAUAAAAGCUUCCCCUAUCUCGCAUGAUAAAGCAAAGAGAAAAGAAAGAUAAAGAAUAGAAAAAAGAUAGAAUUGAACAACCGUACAGGCAUCUUUUGUGCAUACGGCUCUACAAGAAAAUUUACCCCCCUCCUUUCUAUUGAAGAAAGAGAAAAUAGAAUCUAUCAGACUCAGAUGGGUAAAUAAUCAAAUUGCCAUCCUUCCUUUCGGAGGAGUUCAAAAAUACUAUGAUGGCUCCGUUGCUUUAUAUGUUUAUUUUUUAUUUUUUUUGUCUGUGAUUCAGCAAUCCCAAAGUUUCUUUUUAAUCCGAUCAAAUAAGGAAAAAAUAUUUUUUUUUCGUACUCUUUCAUAACAUAAAUAUUUGGAGAAUGAGUCUUUCAUUGAUGUAGUUAGACAGAAUUGGAAGAUUUGGAAGUAGUAUUGAGCAUUGAGUUGAGUGAUGGCUAAGAUAACCCAAACCCCAUAAUUGAGCAUCUAGCGUAGGAUAAGAUUGUGUCAUUGAUUUGGGUAACUCAUCAUAAAGCCCCUGGUAAGGGCCUAGAUAUUGGAUCCAUUAGUUCAAUUCGUCCUUUACCCUAACAAAGUGUUGGAUGACUCUGGCAAUGUGGGCAAGACGUUGUAUCAUUUUGAGGCUAAUACUGAUGGUUGUCAGUUAGAGAAACUCCCAAGAAAAGUAAAGUAUACUAUUUUAGCAUUUUAUAUCAUUGCAUAUAUCUAAGUUGUAAAUCUUUAUUGUUUUCAAUGCAUUGGCAUGCUUUACUUUACACAAUUAUCCAAUAUUCAUUCAUUCUCUGAGUUGUUCCUCAAUUAUGUAUGUUCAGUCUAACAAGUGUUUCAUUCAACUAUUUUACAUGCCAUACAUUUCAUGUUUUAACGCCAUUUGGUGCUAUAUCUUCUAAUGAUACAAAUACAUAAACUCAUAAUCGAUAGAAGACGCUUCACUGAGAUCCUCUCCAUCAGAUUUCGGUGAGACUUCGCUCCUAUCGGAGGGCUCCAGAUCAGUUAUUUAUUUCAUCAUUUAGUAGACAUUCUAAUUUAUUAUUCAGAUAGUCGUGGAUCUUGUCCCAUAACCUAUGUUAGUUCAGCAGAGGCUUCAUAGACAAGUUAGUGAGUUAGUUAUAUCUUGAUCUUCAGAUAUUUUAAACAUUAUUAUUAUGAUGAUUGAUACUUAUAUUUAAGAUUUUUCAUAAAACAUGUUCAGAUGUGUGAAUGUUUAUCACUUUUAAAGUUUCCACAUAAGUGUUUAGCCUUACGUUUAGUAGUAAGUCAGACCAAGGAUUUACUUGGGACCAGUAAUGAUAUCCGACUGUCAGCCACACCUAGGAUAUAGGCUCGGGGAGUGACAGAACUGGUCGAUGAACUAAAGUUUUCUUUUGUUCAAACAGACAUGCAGAGGAGUACCAGAUCUAAACAUAACCUCACUAAAAUAAGUAAUCUUUUUGUGAAUUUGAGUUUUGAUGGUGGUAUUAAAAAAAAAUUGAAUUUCAAUCCAUAGAGUUCAGAUCUAUAAAUGAAAAAUUGAUUUUACCUGUGAUUUCCUUUGCAGCAUCCCAAUCAUAAGCUUCUGAGAUCAAAAAGAUCGAUCUUUGCGGUGAACAUAUUCAUGGAUAAGAA
rnacentral:lncRNA from 1 species